GUUGAUCCUGGCUCAGAUGAACGCUGGCGGCAGGCCUAACACAUGCAAGUCGAACGGUAACAGGAAGAAGCUUGCUCUUGCUGACGAGUGGCGGACGGGUGAGUAAUGUCUGGGAAACUGCCUGAUGAGGGGGAUAACUACUGGAAACGGUAGCUAAUACCGCAUAACGUCGCAAGACCAAAGAGGGGGACCUUCGGGCCUCUUGCCAUCGGAUGUGCCCAGAUGGGAUUAGCUAGUAGGUGGGGUAACGGCUCACCUAGGCGACGAUCCCUAGCUGGUCUGAGAGGAUGACCAGCCACACUGGAACUGAGACACGGUCCAGACUCCUACGGGAGGCAGCAGUGGGGAAUAUUGCACAAUGGGCGCAAGCCUGAUGCAGCCAUGCCCGCGUGUAUGAAGAAGGCCUUCGGGUUGUAAAGUACUUUCAGCGGGGAGGAAGGGAGUAAAGUUAAUACCUUUGCUCAUUGACGUUACCCGCAGAAGAAGCACCGGCUAACUCCGUGCCAGCCGCCGC
rnacentral:rRNA from 1 species